rnacentral:rRNA from 1 species
UGUGCACGCUCUGUUUACACAUCCACUCACACCUGUGCACCCUCCGUAGUUCUAUGGUCUGGGGGACCCUGUCUUCCCGCCGUGGUUCUACGUCUUUACACACACUCUGUAAUAAAGUCUUAUGGAAUGUAUGCCGCGUCUAACGCAAUACAAUACAACUUUCAGCAACGGAUCUCUUGGCUCUCGCAUCGAUGAAGAACGCAGCGAAAUGCGAUAAGUAAUGUGAAUUGCAGAAUUCAGUGAAUCAUCGAAUCUUUGAACGCACCUUGCGCCCCUUGGCUAUUCCGAGGGGCAUGCCUGUUUGAGUAUCAUGAACACCUCAACUCUCAUGGUUCGCCAUGAUGAGCUUGGACUCUGGGGGUUUUGCUGGCCUGCGGUCGGCUCCCCUCAAAUGAAUCAGCCUCCCAGUGUUUGGUGGCAUCAUGGGUGUGAUAAAUAUCUACACUCGUGGUUGUCUGCCAGGUAACCUUUGGUGACAAAGGUUUGCUGGAGCUCACAGAUGUCUCUCCUCGGCGAGGACAGCUUUUUUGAACGUUCGAUCUCAAAUCAGGUAGGACUACCCGCUGAACUUAAGCAUAUC